GACGAACGCUGGCGGCGUGCUUAACACAUGCAAGUCGAGCGGUAAGGCCCUUUCGGGGGUACGACGAGCGGCGAACGGGUGAGUAACACGUGGGUGACCUGCCCUCAGCUCUGGGAUAAGCCUGGGAAACCGGGUCUAAUACCGGAUAUGACUCCAUGACGCAUGUUGUGGGGUGGAAAGCCUUGUGCGGCUGAGGAUGGGCCCGCGGCCUAUCAGCUUGUUGGUGGGGGGAU
rnacentral:rRNA from 1 species